ACCUGACUGCUAUCGGAUUGGUACUAAGCCAUGUGAGUCAUUGUAGCAAUACAAGGCAUACGGCUCAGUAACACGUAGUCAAUCUGCCCUAUGGACGUGGAUAACCUCGGGAAACUGAGAAUAAUCCGCGAUAGAUCAUAAUGCCUGGAACGGUUUAUGGUCCAAAUGAUUCGUCGCCAUAGGAUGGGACUGCGGCCUAUCAGCUUGUUGGUGAGGUAAUGGCCCACCAAGGCUAUUACAGGUACGGGCUCUGAGAGGAGAAGCCCGGAGAUGGGUACUGAGACACGGACCCAGGCCCUAUGGGGCGCAGCAGGCGAGAAACCUUUGCAAUGUGCGCAAGCACGACAAGGUUAAUCCGAGUGUUUCCUGCUAAAGGAAUCUUUUGUUAGUUCUAAAACCACUGAUGAAUAAGGGGUGGGCAAGUUCUGGUGUCAGCCGCCGCGGUAAAACCAGCACCUCAAGUGGUCAGGAGGAUUAUUGGGCCUAAAGCAUCCGUAGCCGGUUCUGUAAGUUUCCGGUUAAAUCCACUAGCUCAACUAAUGGGCUGCCGGAAAUACUGCAGAACUAGGGAGUGGGAGAGGUAGACGGUACUCGGGAGGAAGGGGUAAAAUCCUUUGAUCUCUUGAUGACCACCUGUGGCGAAGGCGGUCUACCAGAACACGUUCGACGGUGAGGGAUGAAAGCUGGGGGAGCAAACCGGAUUAGAUACCCGGGUAGUCCCAGCUGUAAACGAUGCAGACUCGGUGAUGCACUGGCUUUUGGCCAGUGCAGUGCCGCAGGGAAGCCGUUAAGUUUGCCGCCUGGGAAGUACGUACGCAAGUAUGAAACUUAAAGGAAUUGGCGGGGGAGCACCACAAGGGGUGANCCUGCGGUUCAUUGGAUUCACGCCGGAA
rnacentral:rRNA from 1 species